UACGUAGGGUGCAAGCGUUGUCCGGAAUUAUUGGGCGUAAAGAGCUCGUAGGCGGUUUGUCGCGUCGAAUGUGAAAACCCGGGGCUCAACCCCGGGCCUGCAUUCGAUACGGGCAGACUAGAGUGCGGUAGGGGAGACUGGAAUUCCUGGUGUAGCGGUGGAAUGCGCAGAUAUCAGGAGGAACACCGAUGGCGAAGGCAGGUCUCUGGGCCGCAACUGACGCUGAGGAGCGAAAGCAUGGGGAGCGAACAGG
rnacentral:rRNA from 1 species